UCAAGCGAACAAGUGCAUGUGGUGGAUGCCUUGGCGAUCACAGGCGAUGAAGGACGCGGUAGCCUGCGAAAAGCCCCGGGGAGCUGGCAAACAAGCUUUGAUCCGGGGAUGUCCGAAUGGGGAAACCCACUCCUUUUGGAGUAUCCAUAGCUGAAUACAUAGGCUAUGUGAAGCGAACGCGGUGAACUGAAACAUCUAAGUAACCGCAGGAAAAGAAAUCAACCGAGAUUCCCAAAGUAGUGGCGAGCGAAAUGGGAUGAGCCUUGUACUCUUUAUUUGUAUUGUUAGCCGAACGCUCUGGAAAGUGCGGCCAUAGCAGGUGAUAGCCCUGUAGGCGAAAACAGUAUGAAAGAACUAGGUGUACGACAAGUAGGGCGGGACACGUGAAAUCCUGUCUGAAGAUGGGGGGACCAUCCUCCAAGGCUAAAUACUCGUGAUCGACCGAUAGUGAACCAGUACCGUGAGGGAAAGGCGAAAAGAACCCCGGGAGGGGAGUGAAAUAGAUCCUGAAACCGCAUGCAUACAAACAGUCGGAGCCUCGUAAGGGGUGACGGCGUACCUUUUGUAUAAUGGGUCAGCGACUUACGUUCAGUAGCAAGCUUAACCGUAUAGGGCAGGCGUAGCGAAAGCGAGUCCGAAUAGGGCGUUCAGUUGCUGGGCGUAGACCCGAAACCAGGUGAUCUAUCCAUGGCCAGGAUGAAGGUGCGGUAACACGUACUGGAGGUCCGAACCCACUAACGUUGAAAAGUUAGGGGAUGAGCUGUGGAUAGGGGUGAAAGGCUAAACAAACCUGGAAAUAGCUGGUUCUCUCCGAAAACUAUUUAGGUAGUGCCUCGUGUCUCACCUUCGGGGGUAGAGCACUGUCAUGGUUGGGGGGUCUAUUGCAGAUUACCCCGCCAUAGCAAACUCCGAAUACCGAAGAGUGCAAUCACGGGAGACAGACAUCGGGUGCUAACGUCCGGUGUCAAGAGGGAAACAACCCAGACCGCCAGCUAAGGUCCCCAAAUAUGGCUAAGUGGGAAACGAAGUGGGAAGGCUAAAACAGUCAGGAGGUUGGCUUAGAAGCAGCCACCCUUUAAAGAAAGCGUAAUAGCUCACUGAUCGAGUCGUCCUGCGCGGAAGAUGUAACGGGGCUAAGCCAUAUACCGAAGCUGCGGAUGCGUGCUUGCACGCAUGGUAGGAGAGCGUUCCGUAAGCCUGCGAAGGUGCCUUGUAAAGGGUGCUGGAGGUAUCGGAAGUGCGAAUGCUGACAUGAGUAGCGAUAAAGGGGGUGAAAGGCCCCCUCGCCGUAAGCCCAAGGUUUCCUACGCAACGUUCAUCGGCGUAGGGUGAGUCGGCCCCUAAGGCGAGGCAGAAAUGCGUAGCUGAUGGGAAGCAGGUCAAUAUUCCUGCACCGUCGUUAGAUGCGAUGGGGGGACGGAUCGCGGAAGGUUGUCCGGGUGUUGGACGUCCCGGUCGCUGCAUUGGAGAAGGCGCUUAGGCAAAUCCGGGCGCAGGAUUCAAGGGUGUGGCGCGAGCGACUUCGGUCGCGAAGCAAUUGGAAGUGGUUCCAAGAAAAGCCUCUAAGCUUCAGUCUAACGAUGACCGUACCGCAAACCGACACAGGUGGGCGAGAUGAGUAUUCUAAGGCGCUUGAGAGAACUCGGGAGAAGGAACUCGGCAAAUUGGUACCGUAACUUCGGGAUAAGGUACGCCCUUGUAGCUUGACUGGCCUGCGCCAGGAGGGUGAAGGGGUUGCAAUAAACUGGUGGCUGCGACUGUUUAAUAAAAACACAGCACUCUGCAAACACGAAAGUGGACGUAUAGGGUGUGACGCCUGCCCGGUGCCGGAAGAUUAAAUGAUGGGGUGCAAGCUCUUGAUUGAAGUCCCGGUAAACGGCGGCCGUAACUAUAACGGUCCUAAGGUAGCGAAAUUCCUUGUCGGGUAAGUUCCGACCUGCACGAAUGGCGUAACGAUGGCCACACUGUCUCCUCCCGAGACUCAGCGAAGUUGAAGUGUUUGUGAUGAUGCAAUCUACCCGCGGCUAGACGGAAAGACCCCAUGAACCUUUACUGUAGCUUUGCAUUGGACUUUGAACCGAUCUGUGUAGGAUAGGUGGGAGGCUAUGAAACCGGAACGCUAGUUUCGGUGGAGCCGUCCUUGAAAUACCACCCUGGUUUGUUUGAGGUUCUAACCUUGGUCCGUGAUCCGGAUCGGGGACAGUGCAUGGUAGGCAGUUUGACUGGGGCGGUCUCCUCCCAAAGGGUAACGGAGGAGUACGAAGGUACGCUAGGUACGGUCGGAAAUCGUGCUGAUAGUGCAAUGGCAUAAGCGUGCUUAACUGCGAGACCGACAAGUCGAGCAGGUGCGAAAGCAGGUCAUAGUGAUCCGGUGGUUCUGUAUGGAAGGGCCAUCGCUCAACGGAUAAAAGGUACUCUGGGGAUAACAGGCUGAUACCGCCCAAGAGUUCAUAUCGACGGCGGUGUUUGGCACCUCGAUGUCGGCUCAUCUCAUCCUGGGGCUGUAGCCGGUCCCAAGGGUAUGGCUGUUCGCCAUUUAAAGAGGUACGUGAGCUGGGUUUAAAACGUCGUGAGACAGUUUGGUCCCUAUCUGCCGUGGGCGUUGGAUAUUUGAAGGGGGCUGCUCCUAGUACGAGAGGACCGGAGUGGACGAACCUCUGGUGUACCGGUUGUGACGCCAGUCGCAUCGCCGGGUAGCUAUGUUCGGAAGAGAUAACCGCUGAAAGCAUCUAAGCGGGAAACUCGCCUUAAGAUGAGAUAUCCCUGGAGGCUUGACCUCCUUGAAGGGUCGUUCGAGACCAGGACGUUGAUAGGUCGGGUGUGUAAGCGCAGUAAUGCGUUCAGCUAACCGAUACUAAUUGCCCGUAAGGCUUGAUC
rnacentral:rRNA from 1 species